AUUGAACGCUGGCGGCAGGCCUAACACAUGCAAGUCGAACGAGUGGCGGACGGGUGAGUAAUGUCUGGGAAACUGCCUGAUGGAGGGGGAUAACUACUGGAAAAGGUAGCUAAUACCGCAUACCAGCAGAUGUGCCCAGGUGGGAUUAGCGAGUUGGUGGGGUAAAGGAUCCCCAAGGCGACGAUCCGUAACUGGUCUGAGAGGAUGAUCGGUCACACUGGAACUGAGACACGGUCCAGACUCCUACGGUAGUCAGCAGUGGGUAAUAUUGGACAAUGGUGGAAAGCCUGAUUCAGCCAUGCCGCGUGUGUGAAGAAGGUCUUCGGAUUGUAAAGCACUUUAAGUUGGGAGGCGUUACCAACAGAAUAAGCACCGGCUAACUUCGUGCCAGCAGCCGCGGUAAUUC
rnacentral:rRNA from 1 species